rnacentral:tRNA from 3 species
GCGCUCGUGGCGGAAUUGGUAGACGCGCAUCGUUGAGGUCGAUGUGUCCACGUGACGUGCGAGUUCGAGUCUCGCCGAGCGCACCA